UACGGAGGAUGCGAGCGUUAUCCGGAUUUAUUGGGUUUAAAGGGUGCGUAGGCGGGAUUAUAAGUCAGCGGUGAAAGUUUGAGGCUCAACCUUAAAAUUGCCGUUGAAACUGUUUUUCUUGAGUAUAUUUGAAGUAGGCGGAAUUCGUGGUGUAGCGGUGAAAUGCAUAGAUAUCACGAAGAACUCCAAUUGCGAAGGCAGCUUACUAAACUAUAACUGACGCUGAAGCACGAAAGCGUGGGUAUCAAACAGG
rnacentral:rRNA from 1 species